rnacentral:lncRNA from 1 species
GAGAAAUUAAAAUCCUAGUUCUGUCUGUACCUUAAUCUGCUGCUCAGAUUAUGUUCCUGGCGAGAAGAAGUGUGUGAGUGAGGGUGUUGGCAUCCGAGUCCUCGCCGAGGAGACUGUUCCUUGGGGACCUGUCGUGUGCGGCACCCAGAGUGCCGUAUCGUCUGCAUCACAGAUCAUCCUCUGGGCGGCUCUCACCUUCUGAUUAAAACAAAAGUCUGCCAGUUUUUAAGUUCUUUUUAGGCUUGAUGUUAUAAUGAAGGGAAAUUAUGAUUUUGUUAACUAAAAAGAAAACACUGCUUAUGAGAAUGUUUGGGAAAAUGUAGGUCUUAGAGCAAAAUUAAAUUUAUUAAAUUCUGUGCAAGAAUUUACAUUUUUAUGCAGUUCCU